GAUGAACGCUAGCGGCAGGCUUAAUACAUGCAAGUCGAGGGGUAGCAAGAUUGUAGCAAUACAAUUGUUGACGACCGGCAAACGGGUGCGGAACACGUACACAACCUUCCUACAAGUGGGGAAUAGCCCAGAGAAAUUUGGAUUAAUACCCCGUAACAUAGCGAUGUGGCAUCACAUUGCUAUUAUAGCUUCGGCGCUUGUUGAUGGGUGUGCGGCUGAUUAGAUAGUUGGCGGGGUAACGGCCCACCAAGUCUACGAUCAGUAGCUGAUGUGAAGCCAUGAUCAGCCACACGGGCACUGAGACACGGGCCCGACUCCUACGGGAGGCAGCAGUAAGGAAUAUUGGACAAUGGACGCAAGUCUGAUCCAGCCAUGCCGCGUGAAGGAUUAAGGUCCUCUGGAUUGUAAACUUCUUUUAUAAGGGACGAAAAAAGGUCUUUCUAGAUCGUCUGACGGUACCUUAUGAAUAAGCACCGGCUAACUCCGUGCCAGCAGCCGCCGUAAAAC
rnacentral:rRNA from 1 species